GACGAACGCUGGCGGCGUGCUUAACACAUGCAAGUCGAACGGAAAGGCCCUGCUUUUGUGGGGUGCUCGAGUGGCGAACGGGUGAGUAACACGUGAGUAACCUGCCCUUGACUUUGGGAUAACUUCAGGAAACUGGGGCUAAUACCGGAUAGGAGCUCCUGCUGCAUGGUGGGGGUUGGAAAGUUUCGGCGGUUGGGGAUGGACUCGCGGCUUAUCAGCUUGUUGGUGGGGUAGUGGCUUACCAAGGCUUUGACGGGUAGCCGGCCUGAAAGGGUGACCGGCCACAUUGGGACUGAGAUACGGCCCAGACUCCUACAGGAGGCAGCAGUGGGGAAUAUUGCACAAUGGGCGGAAGCCUGAUGCAGCAACGCCGCGUGCGGGAUCACGGCCUUCGGGUUGUAAACCGCUUUCGCCUGUGACGAAGCGUGAGUGACGGUAAUGGGUAAAGAAGCACCGGCUAACUACGUG
rnacentral:rRNA from 1 species